rnacentral:rRNA from 1 species
GGGCUUUGUCUGCGCAGGAUAGGUGGGAGGCGUUGAAAGUUUUCUUGCGGGAAGAUUUGAGCCAUUGGUGAGAUACCACUCUAACAAUGCUAGGAUUCUAACCCUAUGUCGUUAUCCGGCUAGGGGACAGUUUCAGGUGGUCAGUUUGACUGGGGCGGUCGCCUCCUAAAAGGUAACGGAGGCGUGCAAAGGUUCCCUCAGGCUGGUUGGAAAUCAGUCGUAGAGUGUAAAGGCAUAAGGGAGCUUGAUUGUGAGACCUACAAGUCGAACAAAGACGAAAGUCGGCCUUAGUGAUCCGGCGGUACCGAGUGGAAGGGCCGUCGCUCAACGGAUAAAAGUUACUCUAGGGAUAAC